rnacentral:ncRNA from 1 species
UUGCAGGCCGGAGCGCUACUCCAUUUCAAUAGCCAUCCGGACCAGAAAAAGGAGGAAAUAUUUGCCGCCGGCCGGCGGUGCGGCAGUGUGGAGACCUGCCGUAAUCCUGUCAGGGUUUCGCUCUCUGGCAGGGAGGUACGUGAGCAGAGGCGAGCGUACUACGGCCUGAGCCCAUGUCU